AUUGAACGCUGGCGGCAGGCCUAACACAUGCAAGUCGAACGAGUGGCGGACGGGUGAGUAAUGUCUGGGAAACUGCCUGUUGGAGGGGGAUAACUACUGGAAACGGUAGCUAAUACCGCAUACCAUCGGAUGUGCCCAGACGGGAUUAGCUAGUAGGUGGGGUAAUGGCUCACCUAGGCGACGAUCCCUAGCUGGUCUGAGAGGAUGACCAGCAACACUGGGACUGAGACACGGUCCAGACUCCAACGGGAGGCGGCAGUGGGGAAUAUUGCACAAUGGGCGCAAGCCUGAUGCAGCCAUGCCGCGGGUAUGAAGAAGGCCUUCGGGUUGUAAAGUACUUUCAGCGGGAAGGCGUUACCCGCAGAAGAAGCACCGGCUAACUCCGUGCCAGCAGCCUCGGUAAUAC
rnacentral:rRNA from 1 species